rnacentral:lncRNA from 1 species
CUUACCCAUUGUUUCACAAUUAACUUAAGUAUAUCUUAUUGAAUUGAUUUUAUGAUAUUCAAGUGAGAAAACAAGAUUUACUUCCUUAUUUUCAUUUUAAAUUACCUUGACCUUUCCACACUUUGAUUGUGUCAGCUUCAACAAUUCGUGAACGGAUAUUUUCACUCGACGCCCUUCUUUGCAGAACGUGCGUUGCUCAUGUAUUGUUAGUAAGAUAUCGUCCAGA